rnacentral:rRNA from 1 species
AGGCAGAUUCAAUUUUCUGCCACCGAAUACAUUAGCAUGGGAUAAUGGAAUAGGACCCUGUCCUCCUAUUUUCAGUUGGUUUUGGCAGCGCGAGGACUAGGGUAAUGAUUAAUAGGGAUAGUUGGGGGCAUUAAUAUUUAAUUGUCAGAGGUGAAAUUCUUGGAUUUAUGAAAGAUUAACUUCUGCGAAAGCAUCUGCCAAGGAUGUUUUCAUUAAUCAAGAACGAAAGUUAGGGGAUCGAAGACGAUCAGAUACCGUCGUAGUCUUAACCAUAAACGAUGCCGACCAGCGAUUAGGAGACGUUGAAUACAAAACACCACCAUCGGCGCGGUCGUCCUUGGCGUUCGUGUUCACGCACGAGCGCGAGGGCGGUUUAGCCCGAUGGCACCGGUGAAUGACUCCCCUAG